CAGUUUGGAGGGAAAACAACACAAACAUCACCAUCCAUAACUCUGUCUCUCCAGGGCUUUAUAUGUUGUCAGGCAAUCAAGCGUUUAUUUGGGCCACUCAAUCUGCAGUUACGUCACAUCACAUACUCCAGC